GAUGAAGAACGCAGUGAAAUGCGAUAAGUAAUGUGAAUUGCAGAAUUCAGUGAAUCAUCGAAUCUUUGAACGCACCUUGCGCUCCUUGGUAUUCCAAGGAGCAUGCCUGUUUGAGUAUCAUUAAAUUAUCAACUGUGCCAAUUUGGUUACAGAUUGGAUGUGGGAGAUUCUUUUUGCAGGCCUUUGACUUCUCUUUGAGAAAAAAAAUAAAAGGUCGGCUCUCCUGAAAUGUAUUAGCAGUGCCUUUGUUGGUUCAUUAGGUGUGAUAAAUUGUCUACAUCUUCGCAUGAUACCUUCAUUUGUAAAGGUCAUAUUGCUUCUAAAUUGUCUUUGAUUGGACGCAAAACAUAUAUAAUGUUUGACAAACUUGAUCUCAAAUCAGGCAGGACUACCCGCUGAACUUAAGCAUAUCAAUAAGCGGAGGA
rnacentral:misc_RNA from 1 species